rnacentral:rRNA from 1 species
GAGUUUGAUCCUGGCUCAGGACGAACGCUGGCGGCGUGCUUAACACAUGCAAGUCGAGCGAUGAAGCUCCUUCGGGAGUGGAUUAGCGGCGGACGGGUGAGUAACACGUGGGUAACCUGCCUCAUAGAGGGGAAUAGCCUUUCGAAAGGAAGAUUAAUACCGCAUAAGAUUGUAGUACCGCAUGGUACAGCAAUUAAAGGAGUAAUCCGCUAUGAGAUGGACCCGCGUCGCAUUAGCUAGUUGGUGAGGUAACUGCUCACCAAGGCGACGAUGCGUAGCCGACCUGAGAGGGUGAUCGGCCACAUUGGGACUGAGACACGGCCCAGACUCCUACGGGAGGCAGCAGUGGGGAAUAUUGCACAAUGGGGGAAACCCUGAUGCAGCAACGCCGCGUGAGUGAUGACGGUCUUCGGAUUGUAAAGCUCUGUCUUUAGGGACGAUAAUGACGGUACCUAAGGAGGAAGCCACGGCUAACUACGUGCCAGCAGCCGCGGUAAUACGUAGGUGGCAAGCGUUGUCCGGAUUUA